rnacentral:rRNA from 1 species
ACUCAAAGGAAUUGACGGGGGCCCGCACAAGCGGCGGAGCAUGCGGAUUAAUUCGAUGCAACGCGAAGAACCUUACCAAGGCUUGACAUGAACCGGUAAUACCUGGAAACAGGUGCCCCGCUUGCGGUCGGUUUACAGGUGGUGCAUGGUUGUCGUCAGCUCGUGUCGUGAGAUGUUGGGUUAAGUCCCGCAACGAGCGCAACCCUCGUUCUAUGUUGCCAGCGCGUUAUGGCGGGGACUCAUAGGAGACUGCCGGGGUCAACUCGGAGGAAGGUGGGGACGACGUCAAAUCAUCAUGCCCCUUAUGUCUUGGGCUUCACGCAUGCUACAAUGGCCGGUACAAAGGGUUGCGAUACUGUGAGGUGGAGCUAAUCCCAAAAAGCCGGUCUCAGUUCGGAUUGGGGUCUGCAACUCGACCCCAUGAAGUCGGAGUCGCUAGUAAUCGCAGAUCAGCAACGCUGCGGUGAAUACGUUCCUGGGCCUUGUACACACCGCCCGUCAAGUCACGAAAGUUGGUAACACCCGAAGCCGGUGGCCUAACCCUUGUGGGGGGAGCCGUCGAAGGUGGGACCGGCGAUUGGGACUAAGUCGUAACAAGGUAGCCGUACCGGAAGGUGCGGCUGGAUC